UAGGGAAUCUUCCGCAAUGGACGCAAGUCUGACGGAGCAACGCCGCGUGAGUGAAGAAGGAUUUCGGUUCGUAAAACUCUGUUGUUAGAGAAGAACAGCGCAUAGAGUAACUGUUAUGCGUGUGACGGUAUCUAACCAGAAAGCCACGGCUAACUACGUGCCAGCAGCCGCGGUAAUACGUAGGUGGCAAGCGUUGUCCGGAAUUAUUGGGCGUAAAGCGCGCGUAGGCGGUUUUUUAAGUCUGAUGUGAAAGCCCACGGCUCAACCGUGGAGGGUCAUUGGAAACUGGAAAACUUGAGUGCAGAAGAGGAAAGUGGAAUUCCAUGUGUAGCGGUGAAAUGCGCAGAGAUAUGGAGGAACACCAGUGGCGAAGGCGACUUUCUGGUCUGUAACUGACGCUGAUGUGCGAAAGCGUGGGGAUCAAACAGG
rnacentral:rRNA from 1 species